rnacentral:rRNA from 1 species
CACUGUCACUCCUAACGGGAGGCAGCAGUGGGGAAUCUUGGACAAUGGGGGGCAAACCCCUGAUCCAGCCAUGCCGCGUGAGUGAAGAAGGCCUUAGGGUCGUAAAGCUCUUUCGCCUGUGAAGAUAAUGACGGUAGCAGGUAAAGAAACCCCGGCUAACUCCGUGCCAGCAGCCGCGGUAAUACGGAGGGGGUUAGCGUUGUUCGGAAUUACUGGGCGUAAAGCGCGCGUAGGCGGACCAGAAAGUUGGGGGUGAAAUCCCGGGGCUCAACCCCGGAACUGCCUCCAAAACUCCUGGUCUUGAGUUCGAGAGAGGUGAGUGGAAUUCCGAGUGUAGAGGUGAAAAUUCGUAGAUAUUCGGAGGAACACCAGUGGCGAAGGCGGCUCACUGGCUCGAUACUGACGCUGAGGUGCGAAAGUGUGGGGAGCAAACAGGAUUAGAUACCCUGGUAG